CAACCAGAUAAAAUCGGACGACCAAGUUGAAAAUUUAACUGAAAAUGUACUUCAAAAGCCUUGUUGAAUAAUUGUUUUAUUACUCCGAUGAGGCUCGAGGUGGCAGAUCGUAACUCUCGCCUACAUACGAGACAUGCUAACGCAACAAGAAAUAAGAGGUGAACAAAAAGAAAUGGCUCGCAGCGAUAAUUCACCCACAGUUCGCUCCGAAGAUGCUGAUGCGGGGAACACGUGACAGCGCAGCGCUGGAACCGACUGCGGAAUUUAUUGAUGGAAUCCGAAGAACCGAAUUAAAUUUUCUAAGUGGAAGGGUUUUUGAAAAUGUCUUCAGAACCCAAACCUCCAGACGCAGUCUGUAAUACCACAGACGUGUAAGGUACAAUUACACCCGUGCGGUAAAU